GACGAACGCUGGCGGCGUGCCUAAUACAUGCAAGUAGAACGCUGAAGAGAGGAGCUUGCUCUUCUUGGAUGAGUUGCGAACGGGUGAGUAACGCGUAGGUAACCUGCCUGGUAGCGGGGGAUAACUAUUGGAAACGAUAGCUAAUACCGCAUAAAAUUGAUUAUUGCAUGAUAAUUAAUUGAAAGAUGCAAUUGCAUCACUACCAGAUGGACCUGCGUUGUAUUAGCUAGUUGGUGAGGUAACGGCUCACCAAGGCGACGAUACAUAGCCGACCUGAGAGGGUGAUCGGCCACACUGGGACUGAGACACGGCCCAGACUCCUACGGGAGGCAGCAGUAGGGAAUCUUCGGCAAUGGGGGGAACCCUGACCGAGCAACGCCGCGUGAGUGAAGAAGGUUUUCGGAUCGUAAAGCUCUGUUGUAAGAGAAGAACGGGUGUGAGAGUGGAAAGUUCACACUGUGACGGAUCUACC
rnacentral:rRNA from 1 species